rnacentral:rRNA from 1 species
CACCGCGGUUAUACGAGAGGCCCAAGUUGACAAACUCCGGCGUAAAGCGUGGUUAAGGCACACCCAAAAACUAAAGCCGAAUAUCUUCAGAGCAGUCAUACGCAUCCGAAGACACGAAGCCCCACCACGAAAGUGGCUUUAUGACCCCUGACCCCACGAAAGCUAGGACA